GCAACCAACAUAAUCUCAAGUGAUAAAUAUUCUGUUUGUCAUAUGUGAUAUUUAAAGCAUGUUGUAAGUUUUCCUGUCCAUGGAUAGGCCUUGCAUGAUAGCAAACACAGUGGGCUUCUAUCUCUCAAAGUUAGUGCCUUGACUUGAGAAAUUCUUCAGAUGUUCUUAGAUUGGGAUUAGAAAAACCCUAUUAGCAGAAGUACCAGUUAUUAAUCUGCAUUGAGCUAUCUAUAUUUUGCCGUCUCUCUUCAUCACUAGAGUAAUUCUACCCUUAAAAGAGUAUUGAAAUCCUUAUCAUGCUAUUUAGGUUCCCUUUUUGCAGGUGCAAGCUAGUCUUUCUGCACUUGAAGAUGUAAGGGAGGCAGGAUAUGAAUAUUUCAAGAUGACUCUUGGACAAAUCAUAAGAAACUAAAUGGAAGUCGAAAGGAUGAGAUGUCUCAUGAGAUGUCUGUGGGAACUGAUCCUCUGGAGAAAGCAUUAAUCAUUCUGU